AGGGAUAACUCAAGGGUUAAAACUUCAGUUAAGUUUCCCUGCUCUGGGUUCCCCUCCCACAACAGCAUGGGAGCUGUCUUCUCUAUCUCUCUCUCUCUCUCAUAAAUCACUUUUCUGCAAAACUCUUUGGGUCCACAAUUUUAUUCAGACAGUAAACUCACCGUGCCUCCAAGGCCCCUUUCCCCUUUCUCUGGGGAUAGAGAGGCCAAGGACCUAUGAGCUAUGGGAGCUGGGUACACACCCCGGGUUACAUCUGUUGGCAAGCCAGCCAGGAGAUGUCGGAAUUCAGAGUGAUGGGUGCCACCCUUCCAAGGCAAAAUCACUCUUAAAGUGUAUCCUGGAUAACUGGGACCAAUUCGACCCACAAUCUUUGAAGAAGAAGUGGCUCAUUUUUUCUGCCAAACAGUGUGGCUGUGAUACUCUCUGCUGAGUGGAGAAACCUGGCCUCCUAAAGGAAAAUUGAGGCCAUGAGGCUACAAAUGGUCCUGCAAAUGGAACCCCAAAUGUCCUUGACUCAUAAGUUCUAUCGUGGGCCUCUGGAUCGAUCUGCACCCCUGGAAGACUCCCCUCUGGGAAAACCUGAACUGUAGAGCUCCUUCUAUGCCCCAAUUCAGCAGGAAGUAGUUAAAGAGCGAUCGACACCCAUGUCCCAACAGCAGUUGGACUUGCCUGUUCAGAGGUGAAACUGAGGGACUGUGUUAAAGAAACUUCUCUUCCCAGGUCCACUAGGGGAGGGGCUCCAAAUGCAGGAAUUUCCUGGCUCCAUACCUCGGUUGGAGACCAGAAGGGUUUCAAAUUUAAAGUUCCUUGUCUGGCUUUCCCACAUGCAGGCCAGGUAGGGAAAGCCAACUAGAACUCUUUUGUCCCAAAUUCCCACUGAAAGCUCUGGGAGAAGGAGGUUCUAUAACUCAAGAUUGUAGACCAAAUAGCCAAUCCUGUAUCGGAGUCAAAGGUCAAUUACUCAGAGGAAGUCUGAAAGAACUCCUCUCACUGGACCAGAACAUGAACAGAAAGGGAAUAACUCAAGGGUCAAAACUUUAGCUGCUCCUACCUAAGCAGAUUUCCCGCUCUGGGUUCCCCUCCCACAACAGCAUGGGAGCUGUUUCUCUCUCUCACUCUCUCUCUCUCUCUCUCUCUCUCUCUCUCUCUCUCUCUUUCUCUCUCUCUCUCUCUCUCUCUCUCUCUCUCUCAUAAAUUGCAUUUCUGCAAAACUCUUUGGAUCCACAAUUUUAUUUGGACGGGAAACUCACCGUGCCUCUGGGGCCCCUUUCCCCAUUCUUCCCAGUUAGAGAAGCCAAGGACCUAUGAGCUCUGGGAGCUGGGUAUACUCCCCUGGUCACAAUAGCACUGACAACAGAGGCAAGGCUGGUACAGGGGAGGGAUGGAGUGCCUUUCAUUCACUUCUUUUUCUACAACAGAUUGCCUCAAUAUGGUUCAGAUACUAAUAUACAUUAAUAGAAAUACUUGUUAAAUUAUCCUUCUUGCCCAGUAAUUUUUCUUUGAACAUAAGCUUAAUUCUAAAA